rnacentral:rRNA from 1 species
AGAAUCAACGCUGGCGGCGUGCCUAACACAUGCAAGUCGCACGAGAAAGGGGAGCAAUCCCUGAGUAAAGUGGCGCACGGGUGAGUAACACGUGAAUGAUCUACCUCCGAGUGGGGAAUAACUGAGAGAAAUCUUAGCUAAUACCGCAUAACACUUACGAGUCAAAGCAGCAAUGCGCUUGGAGAGGAGUUCGCGGCCGAUUAGCUAGUUGGCGGGGUAAUGGCCCACCAAGGCGAUGAUCGGUA